UUGGGGUGCCCUUCCUUCCGUAUUACAUUUUUUCUCGUGAUCCAGCUAAUUCUUAUCAGCAUGAGCAGCCUCAUUGCCCCAGCAGCCUCGAGACCCGCUGGAUGUAAGUGCUAAACUAAAUAUUUGUUUUUACUAUAAUUUUUACAGAAGUAUGUAUUGUAACCUUGGACGACAAGCUGAUCCAAGGUUAUGGAUUUUGAUCUCCGAGUUUUUACAUGCAUUUGAUCAAGAGCAGAGACAGAGAUAAUAGAUUGAUGGUUUGUUUGAAUCACCCUAGGUUUGAAAUCUGUCCAUGACAUGUCUCUACUUUCAUAAUUAAGCACCUCUCUUACACUUUCACCUCUCCGGGCUCUCUAUAUAGAAUAAUAUCAACCAAUGCUAUGUUUGGGUGAGGCUUUUAAGGUGUCACAAAUCUGUUUAUACCACUAAAAGGUAGGACUAACCCAUCAACAUUUAGCAACAUGGGUUGAAACUAGAAAACUAGUGAGGCUCCUUUUAGGGCUAAUGCCCUCAAGUACUUACCCCAAAUAACGGCACAUAAAGUACCGAGGAUCUCUCGGUGUAAUAGUGAUCAUGCCUUAUCACCUCACAAUAGUAAUGUUAAUUUUCCUCCGUUGUUCCAAACCUCAUGUUAAAGUUUAGGUCUUUCUUUCCUUUCUUGAACUAACAUGCAAGUUGCAAAAAUGAAAAAAAACAUUUGUUUAUGGAACAAAUUUAUGUUUUAUUUUGUAUCAUGUAAAUAAAUUGAGACAAAGUCUGAAGUAUUGUAAAGAGUGUAUAUAUAGAUGACAUAUUUUCCUUUUGGAUCUUGGUGCAGGCAGUUGGGGCCCCUUUUUAACUACAUGCCCAAGAGACCCUCCAGUAACGAGCUGCCCUCGGCCGCCCUGUCGACAUGGCUGAUCCAUGAAUAUAUGAAUUUAUACAGGUGUCAUUGAUAAUCGCGUCAAUAGAUUCGAUGUUUUCCAAAUUUCAUGUUAUACGGGUUGUUGUCUUGUCUCAAAUUAAAUAUGUACGUUACGUACAAUCCUAUAUCACUUCUUGCGUUGAUGUAUAUAUCAAUAAAUCAUUUUUUAGAGACGUAUCAAUAUUUGAUCACUUCAUAUACGUAAAAUCUAUCUCCACUUUCAAAUUAAUAUAUGUGAACUCUACUCUUAAUAUUAUUAUCUAAUACUCAGAGGCUUAUAUCUAUACUCACAUAUAUAAAAUCUAUCUUAUAUGUAAUAUCUUUUUAAGGUACUUUUCAGACCGUGUAACCAAAUGGUACAUUUAAAAUAUCAUAG
rnacentral:lncRNA from 1 species